rnacentral:rRNA from 1 species
GAUGAACGCUAGCUACAGGCUUAACACAUGCAAGUCGAGGGGCAGCAUGAACAUAGCUUGCUAUGUUUGAUGGCGACCGGCGCACGGGUGCGUAACACGUAUCCAAUCUACCCAUGGCUCGGGGAUAGCCUUUCGAAAGAAAGAUUAAUACCCGAUGGUCUCGGUUUAAGGCAUCUUAGACUGAGUAAAGGUUUAUCGGCGAUGGAUGAGGAUGCGUCUGAUUAGGUAGAUGGCGGGGUAACGGCCCACCAUGCCUACGAUCAGUAGGGGUUCUGAGAGGAAGGUCCCCCACAUUGGAACUGAGACACGGUCCAAACUCCUACGGGAGGCAGCAGUGAGGAAUAUUGGUCAAUGGACGAGAGUCUGAACCAGCCAAGUAGCGUGAAGGAUGACUGCCCUAUGGGUUGUAAACUUCUUUUGUUUGGGAAUAAAGUUCGGGACGUGUCCCGUUUUGUAUGUACCAUUCGAAUAAGCAUCGGCUAAUUCCGUGCCAGCCGCCGCAGUAACAC